CCCUUAGAUGUUCUGGGCUGCACACGUGCUACACUGGCAGGUUCAGCGAGCUUCAUGCCUUGAUCUGAAAGGAAUGGGAAAUCUUUUCAAAACCUGCCGUGCUUGGGAUAGAUGUUUGCAAUUAUUCAUCUUCAACGAGGAUUGCCUUGUAAGCGCACGUCAUCAGCGUGCAUUGAAUACGACCCUGUAUUCUGUACACACCGCCCGUCGCUCCUACCGAUUGAAGUUUUCGGUGAGUUGACAGGAGGAUUUUUUUGAAACUGGUUCGCCAGUGGAUUUUAGAUCCAAAUGCCAACGAAUCGAUGGCUUUAGAGGAAGGAGAAGUCGUAACA
rnacentral:rRNA from 1 species